UACGUAGGUGGCGAGCGUUGUCCGGAUUUACUGGGCGUAAAGAGCGCGCAGGCGGCUGGUCAAGUCCGAUGUGAAAGCUCCCGGCUUAACUGGGAAAUUGCAUCGGAAACUGAUCGGCUGGAAGGUGGGAGAGGGUAGCGGAAUUCCCGGUGUAGUGGUGAAAUGCGUAGAUAUCGGGAGGAACACCAAUGGCGAAGGCAGCUCGCUGGGACGUUACUGACGCUGAGACGCGAAAGCGUGGGGAGCAAACAGG
rnacentral:rRNA from 1 species